rnacentral:rRNA from 1 species
AACGUAGGUGGCGAGCGUUAUCCGGAUUCAUUGGGCGUAAAGGGUGCGUAGGCGGCGCGGUAAGUCGGGUGUGAAAUCUCGGAGCUUAACUCCGAAACUGCAUUCGAUACUGCCGUGCUUGAGGACUGGAGAGGAGACUGGAAUUUACGGUGUAGCGGUGAAAUGCGUAGAUAUCGUAAGGAAGACCAGUGGCGAAGGCGGGUCUCUGGACAGUUCCUGACGCUGAGGCACGAAGGUCAGGGGAGCAAACGGG